AUCAAGGAAGGAGACCUGAUGCUAGGUGUGC
rnacentral:piRNA from 1 species